rnacentral:lncRNA from 1 species
AACUCGACUAAGUGAUAAACAAACACUUUACAAAACCAAGUGUUUACCGCCCGACCAUAUCCAAAAAAUAAAAAUAAAAAAACAAAAAUUUAAGACAACAAAAAUUCCUCCUCCCCCUCCCAAAUAAUAAAAGGAAAAAAGUUAUUCAUCAUUGACCAAUCGGUCACCUUCAACCUCCACCUAAACUUCCUCCUACCCAUCUACCUGUCGACUUCAAGCUCGUCCAAACAGAUUACCCAACAUUUCUUCCAGGGGAAUCAAGUUUU